AGAGUUUGAUCCUGGCUCAGGAUGAACGCUAGCGACAGGCUUAACACAUGCAAGUCGAGGGGCAGCACAGGUAGCAAUACCGGGUGGCGACCGGCGCACGGGUGAGUAACGCGUAUGCAACUUACCUAUCAGAGGGGGAUAACCCGGCGAAAGUCGGACUAAUACCGCAUGAAGCAGGGGCCCCGCAUGGGGAUAUUUGCUAAAGAUUCAUCGCUGAUAGAUAGGCAUGCGUUCCAUUAGGCAGUUGGCGGGGUAACGGCCCACCAAACCGACGAUGGAUAGGGGUUCUGAGAGGAAGGUCCCCCACAUUGGUACUGAGACACGGACCAAACUCCUACGGGAGGCAGCAGUGAGGAAUAUUGGUCAAUGGCCGAGAGGCUGAACCAGCCAAGUCGCGUGAGGGAUGAAGGUUCUAUGGAUCGUAAACCUCUUUUAUAAGGGAAUAAAGUGCGGGACGUGUCCCGUUUUGUAUGUACCUUAUGAAUAAGGAUCGGCUAACUCCGUGCCAGCAGCCGCGGUAAUACGGAGGAUCCGAGCGUUAUCCGGAUUUAUUGGGUUUAAAGGGUGCGUAGGCGGCCUUUUAAGUCAGCGGUGAAAGUCUGUGGCUCAACCAUAGAAUUGCCGUUGAAACUGGGAGGCUUGAGUAUGUUUGAGGCAGGCGGAAUGCGUGGUGUAGCGGUGAAAUGCAUAGAUAUCACGCAGAACCCCGAUUGCGAAGGCAGCCUGCCAAGCCAUGACUGACGCUGAUGCACGAAAGCGUGGGGAUCAAACAGGAUUAGAUACCCUGGUAGUCCACGCAGUAAACGAUGAUCACUAGCUGUUUGCGAUACACGGUAAGCGGCACAGCGAAAGCGUUAAGUGAUCCACCUGGGGAGUACGCCGGCAACGGUGAAACUCAAAGGAAUUGACGGGGGCCCGCACAAGCGGAGGAACAUGUGGUUUAA
rnacentral:rRNA from 1 species